AAAGGAAUAGACGGGGGCCCGCACAAGCGGUGGAGCAUGUGGUUUAAUUCGACGCAACGCGAAGAACCUUACCAGGAUUUGACAUCCUCUGCUAUCGUAAGAGAUUACGAGUUUAAUCUUCGGAUUAACAGAGAGACAGGUGGUGCAUGGUUGUCGUCAGCUCGUGUCGUGAGAUGUUGGGUUAAGUCCCGUAACGAGCGCAACCCUUAUUCUUAGUUGCCAGCAAUUCGGUUGGGCACUCUAAGGAGACUGCCGGUGACAAACCGGAGGAAGGUGGGGAUGACGUCAAAUCAUCAUGCCCUUUAUGUCCUGGGCUACACACGUGCUACAAUGGCCUGUACAACGGGUAGCGAAGCCGUGAGGUGGAGCCAAUCCCACAAAGCAGGUCCUAGUUCGGAUUGCAGGCUGCAACUCGCCUGCAUGAAGCAGGAAUCGCUAGUAAUCGCGGAUCAGAAUGCCGCGGUGAAUACGUUCCCGGGCCUUGUACACACCGCCCGU
rnacentral:rRNA from 1 species